rnacentral:sRNA from 1 species
UCUCGCUGAAUCUCCGAAUGGAGAACGGGGGAACCAAUGCAAGCGACUAGCGGCGAAUUUGCCAACUGCGCUCGUAUUUGAUUUCUUUACCAGGGUCUAUGGGGUGAAUUCGAGGUCAUUGCGCCAUGAGCGAAUGUACUGAGAAGGGGCGGCUCUCUUUCGUCCUAACCCGACAGCUAACCUCGUAAGCGUAUCAAGAGAGGU